GGCCUAACACAUGCAAGUCGAACGGUAACAUUUCUAGCUUGCUAGAAGAUGACGAGUGGCGGACGGGUGAGUAAUGCUUGGGAACUUGCCUUUGCGAGGGGGAUAACAGUUGGAAACGACUGCUAAUACCGCAUAAUGUCUUCGGACCAAACGGGGCUUCGGCUCCGGCGCAAAGAGAGGCCCAAGUGAGAUUAGCUAGUUGGUAAGGUAACGGCUUACCAAGGCGACGAUCUCUAGCUGUUCUGAGAGGAAGAUCAGCCACACUGGGACUGAGACACGGCCCAGACUCCUACGGGAGGCAGCAGUGGGGAAUAUUGCACAAUGGGGGAAACCCUGAUGCAGCCAUGCCGCGUGUGUGAAGAAGGCCUUCGGGUUGUAAAGCACUUUCAGUUGUGAGGAAAAGUUAGUAGUUAAUACCUGCUAGCCGUGACGUUAACAACAGAAGAAGCACCGGCUAACUCCGUGCCAGCAGCCGCGGUAAUACGGAGGGUGCGAGCGUUAAUCGGAAUUACUGGGCGUAAAGCGCACGCAGGCGGUUUGUUAAGCUAGAUGUGAAAGCCCCGGGCUCAACCUGGGAUGGUCAUUUAGAACUGGCAGACUAGAGUCUUGGAGAGGGGAGUGGAAUUCCAGGUGUAGCGGUGAAAUGCGUAGAUAUCUGGAGGAACAUCAGUGGCGAAGGCGACUCCCUGGCCAAAGACUGACGCUCAUGUGCGAAAGUGUGGGUAGCGAACAGGAUUAGAUACCCUGGUAGUCCACACCGUAAACGCUGUCUACUAGCUGUGUGUGUCUUUAAGACGUGCGUAGCGAAGCUAACGCGCUAAGUAGACCGCCUGGGGAGUACGGCCGCAAGGUUAAAACUCAAAUGAAUUGACGGGGGCCCGCACAAGCGGUGGAGCAUGUGGUUUAAUUCGAUGCAACGCGAAGAACCUUACCUACACUU
rnacentral:rRNA from 1 species